AUGGUGUAUAUGCUGAUGAUGGAAGUGGGGGUGAAGUCAAAAGGCAAAGGAUUAAAUGCAGAAAAAAAGCCACAGGACCCUUUUAGCAGAAAAUCUUGGAGACGUUCUUCGCCCAAAGUCGCCGCGGUUUCCUGCUUCAACAGUGCUUGGACGGAACCCGGCGCUCGUCCCCCACCCCGGCCAGCCGCCCACAGCCAGCCCUCCGUCACCUCCACACCGGGUCCUCGGAUCGCCCCAAGGCCCCCGCCGCCACUCCAGCGCCGCGCAGCCGCCACCGCCGCCGCAGCCUCUCCUUAGCAGCCGCCGUGACAACCGCAUCACCUUCGCAGGUGCGCCAGAACUACCACCAGGAUUCAGAGGCCGCCGUCAACCGCCAGAUCAACCUGGAGCUCUACGCCUCCUGUGUUUACCUGUCCAUGUCUUACUACUUUGACCGCGAUGAUGUGGCUUUGAAGAACUUUGCCAAGUACUUUCUUCACCAAUCUCAUGAGGAGAGGGAACAUGCCAAGAAACUGAUGAAGCUGCAGAACUAACGAGGUGGUCGCAUCUUCCUUCAGGAUAUCAAGAAACCAGACUAUGAUGACUGGGAGAGCGGGCUGAAUGCGAUGGAGUGUGCAUUACAUUUGGAAAAAAAUGUGAAUCAGUUACUACUGGAACUGCACAAACUGACCACUGACAAAAAUGACCCCCACUUGUGUGACUUCAUUGAGACACAUUACCUGAAUGAGCAGGUGAAAUCCAUCAAAGAAUUGGGUGACCACGUGACCAACUUGCGCAAGAUGGGAGCACCCCAGUCUGGCUUGGCAGAAUAUCUCUUUGACAAGCACACCGUGGGAGACAGUGAUAAUGAAAGCUAAGCCUUAGGCGAAUUUCCCCACAGCCACGGGAUGACUUCCCUGGUCACCAAGGCAGUGCAUGCAUAUUGGGGGUUCCUUUACCUUUUCUGUAAGUUGUACCAAAACAUCCACUUAAGUUCUUUGUACCGUUCCUUCAAAUAAAGAAAUUUAGUACCC